UCUUCAGCAAGAUUUCAUUAGUGAAGGACCGCUAACGGUAACUAACCAGGAUGCCGGUCAUCAAUGUCGACGACCUCACAGACAAGGACAAGGCUUUAAUGGAAGUAAACCAACUCAAACUGGAGGUUAAACUUGAAAGGUGGUUGACAUCUAAAUGCUGUGAGGAAAUGAAGGAAUACAUUCAGGAAAGAGUGGAAGAGGACACCCUUGUGAAAGGCAUUUCAGAGGAGAAGAACCCCUUCAAAGAGAAAGGUGGCUGUGUCAUCUGCUAGAACGGACCUGGGCUUCUCCUAUCUCAGAUUAGCAACCAAGGACAUUCUCCCUCCUCUUCAUAAAUGGAUUUGCAAGGAGAUGACUAGAUUGGAUACAAUUUAUGAAACUGCACAUGCUCCCAUGUAAAUGAUCCCCAUUUUCUCUACAGGUUUUUAGCCUUAUAAUUAAAUUCUUCAGAAGAGUAUUAUAAAUAACGGUUUGAUUUGGUAAGAUAACGCUUCCCUCUUGUGUGAUGUACAUAGCCUGAGCGAGUGGACCCCUGUCUUGCCUCACACACUGAAGCAACUCUCAUUAAAUGUGCAUGUUUACAACUUA